rnacentral:hammerhead_ribozyme from 1 species
CUUAUGUUGACGAGUCCCAAACAGGACGAAACGCGCGUCCUGGAU